rnacentral:rRNA from 1 species
UGGGGAAUAUUGCACAAUGGGCGCAAGCCUGAUGCAGCCAUGCCGCGUGUGUGAAGAAGGCCUUCGGGUUGUAAAGCACUUUCAGCGGGGAGGAAGGCGUUAAGGUUAAUAACCUUGGCGAUUGACGUUACCCGCAGAAGAAGCACCGGCUAACUCCGUGCCAGCAGCCGCGGUAAUACGGAGGGUGCAAGCGUUAAUCGGAAUUACUGGGCGUAAAGCGCACGCAGGCGGUCUGUCAAGUCGGAUGUGAAAUCCCCGGGCUCAACCGGGGAACUGCAUUCGAAACUGGCAGGCUAGAGUAUUGUAGAGGGGGGUAGAAUUCCAGGUGUAGCGGUGAAAUGCGUAGAGAUCUGGAGGAAUACCGGUGGCGAAGGCGGCCCCCUGGACAAAGACUGACGCUCAGGUGCGAAAGCGUGGGGAGCAAACAGG